AUGCAAGUCGAACGAGAAACUUACUUAGCUUGCUUUGAAAGUUUCUAGUGGCGGACGGGUGAGUAACACGUGAGUUACCUGCCCCGAAGUGGGGGAUAGCCUUCCGAAAGGGAGAUUAAUACCCCAUGUGAUCGCAAGAUUAAAGGCGGCCAUCUUUGAUGGCUGUCGCUUCGGGAUGGGCUCGAGGCCUAUCAGCUAGUUGGUGAGGUAACUGCUUACCAAGGCGAUGACGGGUAGCUGGUCUGAGAGGACGACCAGUCACACUGGAACUGAGACACGGUCCAGACACCUACGGGUGGCAGCAGUCGAGAAUCAUUCGCAAUGGGCGAAAGCCUGACGGUGCGACGCCGCGUGGAGGAUGAAGGCCCUAGGGUCGUAAACUCCUGUCAUCAGGGAG
rnacentral:rRNA from 1 species